UACGAAGGGGGCUAGCGUUGCUCGGAAUCACUGGGCGUAAAGCGCACGUAGGCGGCUUUUUAAGUCAGGGGUGAAAUCCUGGAGCUCAACUCCAGAACUGCCUUUGAUACUGAGAAGCUUGAGUCCGGGAGAGGUGAGUGGAACUGCGAGUGUAGAGGUGAAAUUCGUAGAUAUUCGCAAGAACACCAGUGGCGAAGGCGGCUCUCUGGUCCAUGUCUGACGCUGAGGUACGAAAGCCAGGGGAGCAAACGGG
rnacentral:rRNA from 1 species